ACUUGAGUUCCCAAGUAGCAGAGCCGAAGUUUUUCAGAGAUUUUUCUGUGUGCCAAAGCGAGAUGCCCUGUCUUCUCUCUCUAGAUUUUGGACAGCAAACCGCUGCGCGUGUAGAGGUGUGUGCGUGUGACGAACAACGAUGGAUGAAAAACGCGAGGAGCGGGGUCCGAAGUCUUUCGUUGGUCACACACACAUGCAUCUACCGUUGGAUUGCGCUACAUCGAGUCUACCCAUCUCUCUCGAUCUACCAUGAUUUUUUCUGCUAUCGCACUCAUCUGGGAGUUAGGCAUCCUCAGUCUGCCCAGAACUUUCGUUGUGGAAGGAUGUGCGGGAGUGAUGUGCGAUUUCUUGUGUCCCCUACUUUCCUUGUUUACGUUUUGCGCAGUGUUGCUUCUUCUUCCAUUGUGGAAUGAUUUAUCCUAGCAAAUUGUUGAGUUACAGGUGCAUGCGCCAUUCAUCAACGCCUACCUGUUGGCAUCAUCAACAAUCUUUAUAGUAGGUGACGGAAAGAAAUUGUUUUCCAGUUUUAAAAUAUUAAGCGUUCAGCACAACUCAGCCACAAAACAACGCACUGGAUUGCGCUAAGAACCUGUCGAAACGCGCGCAGCCCCCGGGAGCGGUAGGAGAAAGGAAGAACGAGAGGAGAAAAAACUAAAGCCAGCGCGCAGCUCUGAUGGUACCCCGUACGCGGUAAGAAGAAAAAAGAUCGAGAGGAGGAAGAACGGUAAAUUUGGAAGGGGGCGACCGUUCUGCCGUCUCCACAGUGCGAGUAUGCCAAAGCACGUGUUGGAAGGGAGAGAAAAAGUGUGGAAUAAACCGCAUGCGAAUGUGUGCAUACAGCAAAAGUAAA